GUGGUGGCGGAGGCGAAGCAUAUGAGACUCCAAACACUGGUGGCAAUGGCCCCUCGUACACUGGUGCUGGGGGCGGUGGACUUUCAUAAACAAUUGGCGGUGGUGGAGAUGGAGAUGGCGGUGGUGGAGGGUUCUCACAUGGAAUUGGAGGUGGAGGUGAUGGCGAUGGUGGGGGUGGCGAAUUGUAAUGAGCUGGUGGUAGUGGUGGCGGUGAAUGGUAAACUGGUGGUGGUGGAGGUGGCGAAACAUAAAUUACUGGUGCUGGUGGUGGUGAUGGCGAUGGCGGGGGCUUAUAAUGAGUUGGCGGUGGAGGUGAAGGCAAUGGAGGUGGGGGCGAAUAUUCUACACAUGGUGGCGGUGGAGGGGGAGGUGGUUCUAUACAAGGGGGUGGGGAUGGAGGUGGUGGCAAAUGGACUGGUGGAGGUGGCGGGGGAGAUUGGUAUGGAUAAAUAGGAGGUGGGGGUGAAUGUGGCGGUGGAGGUGGUUCUAUACAAGGGGGUGGGGAUGGAGGUGGUGGUGAAUGGACUGGUGGAGGUGGCGGGGGAGAUUGGUAUGGAUAAAUAGGAGGUGGGGGUGAAUGUGGCGGUGGAGGUGGUGGUGAGCUAUAAAUGUAAGGGUUUGGCGGUGGUGAGGAGUACAGUGGAGGAGGUGGUGGAGGAGAAUUUGGCGGAGGUGGUGGAGGGCGGACACAAUACGGUGGUGGUGGAGAAGAGUAAACAGGAGGGGGCGGGGGUGAUGGUGAUGGAGGAGGAGGCGGAGGCAAGUAUACAGGCGGGGGUGGUGGCGGAGGAGGAGGUGGUGGGGGUGGAGAGUAAACUGGCGGGGGUGGUGAAGGAGGUGGAGGCGGGGGAGAGUAGACUGGCGGAGGUGGCGAAGGAGGUGGGGGUGGUGGAGGAGGAGGUGGCAAGUAUACUGGUGGUGGUGGUGACGGUGGCGGAGGAGGUGGCGAGUAUACUGGUGGCGGCGGUGGUGGUUGCGGUACUACAACUGGUGGUGGUGGUGAAAUAACUGGCGGAGGAGGUGGAGGUGAGGGUGAUGGUGGCGGGGGUGAUUGCGGUAUUACAACUGGUGGUGGUGGUGAGGGCACCGGCAUUGGUGGAGAUGGGGGAGGUGGCGGGGGCAAGGUAGGAACAAAGGGUUUACAUUUAAAUGAAGAACAAUCCACGCGCUUGGACAGGAAUGACUUACAUUGCGCUGAAGACCUCUGUGCUGGCCUUGCUGGCAAGCAAUUCCUCCUGUCAUCAAAAGCUUGUAAGCUCA
rnacentral:lncRNA from 1 species